GUGGGGAAUAUUGCACAAUGGGCGAAAGCCUGAUGCAGCAACGCCGCGUGGGUGAUGAAGGUUUUCGGAUCGUAAAGCCCUGUCUUUUGGGACGAUAAUGACGGUACCAAAGGAGGAAGCCACGGCUAACUACGUGCCAGCAGCCGCGGUAAUACGUAGGUGGCAAGCGUUGUCCGGAUUUACUGGGCGUAAAGGGAGCGUAGGCGGACCUUUAAGUGAGAUGUGAAAUACCCGAGCUCAACUUGGGUGCUGCAUUUCAAACUGGAGGUCUAGAGUGUCGGAGAGGUAAGUGGAAUUCCUAGUGUAGCGGUGAAAUGCGUAGAGAUUAGGAAGAACCCCGGUGGCGAAGGCGACUUACUGGACGAUAACUGACGCUGAGGCUCGAAAGCGUGGGGAGCAAACAGGAUUAGAAACCCCUGUAGUCC
rnacentral:rRNA from 1 species